CACGCCCUAAACGAUGCGAACUGGAUGUUGGGUUCAACUAGGAACUCAGUAUCGAAGCUAACGCGUUAAGUUCGCCGCCUGGGGAGUACGGUCGCAAGACUGAAACUCAAAGGAAUUGACGGGGGCCCGCACAAGCGGUGGAGUAUGUGGUUUAAUUCGAUGCAACGCGAAGAACCUUACCUGGCCUUGACAUGCACGGAACUUUCCAGAGAUGGAUUGGUGCCUUCGGGAACCGUGACACAGGUGC
rnacentral:rRNA from 1 species